CCUACGGGAGGCAGCAGUCGGGAACUUUGCACAAUGGCCGAAAGGCUGAUGCAGCAACGCCGCGUGAGUGAAGAAGGCCUUCGGGUUGUAAAGCUCUGUUGCCCGUGAAGAAACUCCGCAUCAGGAAAUGGGUGCGGACUGACGGUAGCGGGAGAGGAAGCCCCGGCAAACUACGUGCCAGCAGCCGCGGUAAU
rnacentral:rRNA from 1 species